rnacentral:rRNA from 1 species
UACGAAGGGGGCUAGCGUUGUUCGGAAUUACUGGGCGUAAAGGGCGCGUAGGCUGUGCUGUAAGUCAGGCGUGAAAGCCCCGGGCUCAACCUGGGAAUUGCGCUUGAUACUGCGGCGCUGGAAGGUGGGAGAGGAUGGCGGAAUUCCCAGUGUAGAGGUGAAAUUCGUAGAUAUUGGGAAGAACACCGGUGGCGAAGGCGGCCAUCUGGCCCAUUUU